rnacentral:rRNA from 1 species
GACGAACGCUGGCGGCGUGCUUAACACAUGCAAGUCGAACGGAAAGGCCCUGCUUUUGUGGGGUGCUCGAGUGGCGAACGGGUGAGUAACACGUGAGUAACCUGCCCUUGACUUUGGGAUAACUUCAGGAAACUGGGGCUAAUACCGGAUAGGAGCUCCUGCUGCAUGGUGGGGGUUGGAAAGUUUCGGCGGUUGGGGAUGGACUCGCGGCUUAUCAGCUUGUUGGUGGGGUAGUGGCUUACCAAGGCUUUGACGGGUAGCCGGCCUGAGAGGGUGACCGGCCACAUUGGGACUGAGAGACGGCCCAGACUCCUACGGGAGGCAGCAGUGGGGAAUAUUGCACAAUGGGCGGAAGCCUGAUGCAGCAAUGCCGCGUGCGGGAUGACGGCCUUCGGGUUGUAAACCGCUUUCGCCUGUGACGAAGCGUGAGUGACGGUAAUGGGUAAAGAAGCACCGGCUAACUACGUG